GUCUCAAUAGCUCAGGGGAUAGAGCCUUGGCACGGUACGCCAGAGGCCCUGGGUUCGAGUCCUGGUUAAGACU
rnacentral:tRNA from 1 species